AGGAAGAGAGGAGUGCCACAGUGCUUAGUAGAGAGACCACAUAGGGUAACCAUGAGUGUCCACCAAAGUCUGCUAAAUAUUUAGAUACAGUUAUACUUGUACCAGUGUUGUGAUCCAGAAUGUUAUUUUGUCUUACAGACAAUUUUACACCAUUUAACUUGCUAUGGUGUCAGUCUCAAAGGACAAGAUUCUCAGGUACAGGCGUUUGGCUGAAGAUCUUGGAAGAAGACUAUUGCGCACUUUGCGUGAAAGAGUCAGCUCUUGAAAAUGGGUGCGGGAUGUGCAGAAAUGGUCUAUUCUGAAAUUGUUAAAACAAUUCGUGUCUUGGAAGCAUGCAGCGGCCUGUCUCAAACGAUGACUUCUGACUGAUGCAUAAAGUUGUGGGAGCUGCACAUAUAGGCCAACUGCACAUGAAACAAGUGAAUCCGACAAGUCAUGAAGUUAUGCAGAUAACACCACAUCUGAGAAAGAACUUGUUACCCAUCACCCCCGACUCAACCCAAUACGGCUUUGAAAAAGCACAGCCUGUGAGGCAGUUUGGGCACUUCCCUUUGGACAACAGCCUUGAGACCAAUAUAAAUCUGACAAUAACUGACGAAUUAACACAAUAGACAACAAUACAGUUUCUUCCGGAGUUUUACUGACUGAGUUUUACUGACUAAAUCCAACCAACAUCUCCUCUGCAGUAGCAUAGAGCUAGCAAGCUCCCUUCCCUUCCCAGCUAUGGCUCCCCCUAGCCGUGCUUCCAUAUUUCCUUGUUUAUGCACAGCAUAAUGGCCUGACCCUCCCUUCUUUAUAGCAUUAUACAGACACCACCUAGCACCUGAAAACCUCAAUUUUUCUGGAUAUAUUUUGAGAUUAGAGUCUCUAUAUACCUAAUAUUCAUCCAAUGGCACCCUAACCAUCGUGGAACAUAGCUUUUCUUACCUUUACAAAGUGCCUCUCUCUAUACCUCUCUCUCUCCAAAGUCCCAACCUCUAGCCUCCUUCUUCUUCCCAGAAAUCCCUGCAAAAGGGGCACUUCCAUGUAAGUUGAAUGUGUAGGGGUGCUCAUUUUGGACUCAACCAUUACUGUAAAAUACAGAAGGCCCCAGAUGCUCAGUAAGGGCCUAUUUGGGUACAUAGUCCCACAGGCGUCAACAUGUCCUUUCAAACGGUAUGCCACUGGCCCUAUAGUAAAUAACCCUCCCCUAACUCCCUCUGUCCUCCCCCCCAAUGGCUUUCACAUCAUAUGGCCCAUCCACCAGUCAUACAGCCAAUACUGAGAAGCAAUUGUCACUUGCUGCACAAAUGAGCUCUCAGAGAGUUUACACUGGGUUUUUGUGGACUCACCAAGCCUUGGGGCCUCUUAGAGUGGCCCAAAAUCAUUGCUGGGGUAUAUUUUGGACACACAGAGACCCCUUUUUAUUGAAACAAACCAUUUGAAUGCAGAGGAAAAUAUUCUGGUGUGAAUAUGAUGCAAUCAAGCAAAAAGAGAGCACUGUCUCCAAGUGUCCCUCUCCAAAAGUGCAGAGAUGUAUCCACUGGGACAAGGAGCUUUCCACUCACACAAUGAGAAGGUAAUUAAGCUCCUGAAGUUUAAAAUUUAAUUUUUAAGAAUGUUUUUCUUCAUAUAUUACUAAACAAAUCAUCAUUUUAAGGGGUGGCGGAUGACAAAUGCCAAUUUUGGGGUCCGCACUUUGAAAGCCCAACAGGUAAGCUCACUAAUUGACAGGACACAUUGCAGUGCAUAAGGUAAGGACUUCAUUCUUGUUCAAAACUAUAUGUAUAUAGUUAAAUAAAAUAUUUAUUUUAAAUAUUUUAAGAUGUCAUAUAUCAAUGGUGUAUCGUCUCAAACUGAAACGAUACAUAUUUACCAUAUAGUCUACAAUAUACACCUACCACUUUAUUAUAAUAUUUUAUUCAGCACUAGCCUAUACUAGCCUACAGUUGAGAGCAUGGUCCUGAAACAAGAUAACAUGCUAAUGUUUUUAAAAUAAGCUUAUCAGAAAACGAACAAAACAUAGCCUAGCAGUUUAAGACUUGACUGAGGGCCAAAUUUGAUAUAGCCUACCUGAAUAAGCAGCUAUAUUUCAGGAUCUGACAGUAGGCAUC